GUUAGCAAAUGUGUGGUGUUGAAGUUUCUGUUGCCGAUGGAUUCGGAUCCCCGGCCCUUGGAAAGCUAAGUUGAGGGACCGUGGCCGGGGAGGGAGCGAGUUUGGGGGUCAUGGCAGAGGGGUUUUAUGGCUAGCACCGGGGAGAGGGCUGUCUGGGAGCAGUCCCCCUUGGCUGGGCAAAGGGAGCGGGUUACAUGUCAGCACGAUGCUAGACCAGGCAGGGCAGUUCCAGCCUGUGUUAUGUCUGCGUGUCUUGUCCUGUGUGUCUUAGCUCUUCCUCGGGUCUCAACGCCCUCUUUGCGCUCAAGGGGCACGGAACGCUUCUCGGGCGCCGUCCCUAGGCUCUUGAACACCGGCACUUGUCAGCAUACCGCCAAUCGGGUGCUUCUUUUCUCGCAUAGCAAGCUUACGGCGUGGAUCGUUCUUGCGUGUCGGAAGUUUCUGGCGGGUCCUCUAUUUGCAGCGCUAUACCAGGCUGCGUCCGGAGCUCUGCUCUCCAGCUAUCCAUUUUCAGGGACUGGGCCUUCCUCCCUGCAUCCUUACCUUCUUAGGUCUUGAAGACGGGCUUCUUGCUGCACCCAUCAUCUCGGUUUUGACAGUAACUUCUUAUAACGGGCCAUUUACGGUCAAUUCUCUUCUGGGGUUGCCAUAGAGCUUCCUCACCCGGGCGUCGUGCCCUAUAGGUCACCUUGUUCGGCAGCCUCUCUGGUCUGGGAGUCAUUCCUCUCGCUGAGAGUGUUCUCUCAUUUGUGAGUGAGUCGCGUUGUUUGUAGCGUUCUGUAUAGCGUCCGUCUCUGUGUGUGGUGUGUGUGUGGAGCUGUUCUGCCCAGGGCUGUGGAGUCGGGGAUAGGCGGAAUAGCAAUAAGAGCGUACGGUUAGCGUGCCGAUACGGCCCAUACGGAAUUGUUUGGCUCUCACUCGGCAUCUGGGUGACUUGUUUGAUAACUCGGUGUGAUUUUUCCAGAUGCGGACUGGCUAGAUGCCCACCGAAGAGCGGCAGAGGAGGAGAGCAGAGCGCUGUAAGAAGGCGCGAAUCGAUGCGCGAACGGGAUAUCCGCACCGGAGCGAACUUAAGCGAGGCGAGCGAUGACAGGUGGCGGUCAGGCCUCGGCACGGCAGGCCGAAGAAUCCGACUCCGAGCGGCCGAGGAAAAGGGACGGGCGAGAGGAAGGCGUUUCCAAGGAGGGCUUCGUCGCAGCGGAGGUCGACGCCGGGCGGCACGUCGGUGACCGGCGACGCUCUGUCUGGUGAGGGAUGAAGCGGAACCCGGCGGAUGGGGGAGCGUCCCGGUUAGAUGACCUUUUCCCCAUGAGAAGGGAAUCUGGAUUCUGCCCUCUGAAAGCCCCGACCAACUGCACAACAAGCCUUGUUAAGGGCCAAUCGGCACACAAUACCUGACUUAGUCCCACCUCGCCAAAAGUAUAAAUCUGGCAUUUAGAAUCCUCUUUUUUGAGGACGAGAACUCCAACUAUCCGGACGGCUCGACGGGCCUGGACCUCUCUCUCCUCCCCAAGCAGGGACGCCUCUUUGGUGCCACGGCACGAUUUGGAUUCCCGUACGACACCCUCGAGUGAGGUUUUUGUGGAGUAUCCAAGUAACAGCGAAGGAGCGGUGCAGUUAGCAAGGCAUCUUCCCUGGUCCCUGCCUAUGAGCGCUAACUCUACAGAGUCAGGCGGAGCGGCGAUGCUGUCUUAAGGGACAGGGCAGGGACUCAGAGUAGCUAUCCAGGUGUCCGCAAGCUGCAUGUGUUUGGCCGGGGGUUUGAAUCGGAGGAUCCACAUUCCAUUGUAGUAGAGAGCUCUGGAAUGAGAAAAAUGUUAAGCGAAGCAGGAGAGAUGGACUGUCAAUGUGCCCGAGCUAAUAACUGUCAUUGCUCUGAGUCCUUGCUGUGGUGAUAGUGCAUCAUUGAAAACCUAUGUAUUAAUGCCUAAUGUUGUUGUUCUUUAAAGAAAGUAACAAUAAAGGUGAAGUAAUAAAGAAUGAUUUUUUUUGUUCUGCUGGUU